GACGAACGCUGGCGGCGUGCCUAAUACAUGCAAGUCGAACGCUUUUUCUUUCACCGGAGCUUGCUCCACCGAAAGAAAAAGAGUGGCGAACGGGUGAGUAACACGUGGGUAACCUGCCCAUCAGAAGGGGAUAACACUUGGAAACAGGUGCUAAUACCGUAUAACACUAUUUUCCGCAUGGAAGAAAGUUGAAAGGCGCUUUUGCGUCACUGAUGGAUGGACCCGCGGUGCAUUAGCUAGUUGGUGAGGUAACGGCUCACCAAGGCAACGAUGCAUAGCCGACCUGAGAGGGUGAUCGGCCACACUGGGACUGAGACACGGCCCAGACUCCUACGGGAGGGCAGCAGUAGGGAAUCUUUCGGCAAUGGACGAAAGUCUGACCGAGCAAACGCCGCGUGAG
rnacentral:rRNA from 1 species